rnacentral:rRNA from 1 species
AGAGUUUGAUCCUGGCUCAGGAUGAACGCUGGCGGCGUGCCUAAUACAUGCAAGUCGAGCGAAUGGAUUAAGAGCUUGCUCUUAUGAAGUUAGCGGCGGACGGGUGAGUAACACGUGGGUAACCUGCCCAUAAGACUGGGAUAACUCCGGGAAACCGGGGCUAAUACCGGAUAACAUUUUGAACCGCAUGGUUCGAAAUUGAAAGGCGGCUUCGGCUGUCACUUAUGGAUGGACCCGCGUCGCAUUAGCUAGUUGGUGAGGUAACGGCUCACCAAGGCAACGAUGCGUAGCCGACCUGAGAGGGUGAUCGGCCACACUGGGACUGAGACACGGCCCAGACUCCUACGGGAGGCAGCAGUAGGGAAUCUUCCGCAAUGGACGAAAGUCUGACGGAGCAACGCCGCGUGAGUGAUGAAGGCUUUCGGGUCGUAAAACUCUGUUGUUAGGGAAGAACAAGUGCUAGUUGAAUAAGCUGGCACCUGACGUA